CAAGCGGUUGCUCCGGAAAUAUCGACGUCAAGGGUAGGUAGUGGUCUCAUCGUACGAGGUGAAGCCUCGAGCUACUCAGAAGUCCUCGAUAACGGUGAGACUAGAAUCUUGAGAGGGUCGUGGAUUCGCGGAUGUAGCGGUGAAAUGCGUAGUGAUCGGGAGGUACACCAGAGCGAAGGCGGCGACCUGGACAAGUAUUGACACUCAACUAGGAAAGCGUGGGGAGCAAACAGGAUUAGAUACCAUGGUAGUCCCGCUGUAAACGAUGGGUACUAGGUUUCGUGGGUCUUGACCCCCGCCGAACCGGCGCUAACGCACUAAGCACCCAGCCUGGGAAGUACGGUCGCAAGACUAAAACUCAAAUGAAUUGACGGGGGCCCGCACAAGCGGUGGAUCAUGUGGUCUAAUUCGAAGCAACGCGAAGAACCUUACCUGGAUUUGACAUCUCCUGACAACCCUAGAGAUAGGGCUUCUGUAGCAAUACAGCAGGAUGACAGGUGCUGCAUGGCUGUCGUCAGCUCGUGUGGUGACAUGUUGGGUUAAGUCCCGCAACGAGCGCAACCCUUGUCUUUAGUUGCCAGCAUUCAGUUGGGCACUCUAAAGAGACUGCCGUGGUUAACACGGAGGAAGGUGGGGAUGACGUCAAGUCCUCAUGGCCUUUAUAUCCAGGGCGACACACGUGAUACAAUGGACGGUACAGAGGGACGCCAAGAGGCAACUCGGAGCUAAUCUCAAAAAGCCGUUCUCAGUUCGGAUUGGAGUCUGCAACUCGACUCCAUGAAGUUGGAAUCGCUAGUAAUCGCGGAUCAGCACGCCGCGGUGAAUACGUUCCCGGGCCUUGUACACACCGCCCGUCACACCAUGGGAGCUGACUCAACCAGAAGACGAUCAGGCUAACCGCAAGGAGGCCUUCGGCGAAGGUGGGGUUGGUGACUGGGGUGAAGUCGUAACAAGGUAACCAAGGCGAAUCGUAGAAAAUUACUUAUGUCAUA
rnacentral:rRNA from 1 species